rnacentral:rRNA from 1 species
CUACGGGCUGCAGCAGUAGGGAAUCUUAGACAAUGGGGGAAACCCUGAUCUAGCCAUGCCGCGUGUGUGAAGAAGGCCUGCGGGUUGUAAAGCACUUUCGGUUGGGAGGACUGCUUCUAGCACUAAUAUUGUUGGAAGUUGACGUUACCUUCAGAAGAAGCACCGGCUAACUCCGUGCCAGCAGCCGCGGUAAUACGGAGGUGCAAGCGUUAAUCGGAAUUACUGGGCGUAAAGCGCGCGUAGGCGGCUAGAUCAGUCGGGUGUGAAAGCCCCGGGCUUAACCUGGGAACUGCAUCCGAUACUGUCUAGCUUGAGUACAGGAGAGGAGAGUGGAAUUCCACAUGUAGCGGUGAAAUGCGUAGAUAUGUGGAGGAACACCAAUGGCGAAGGCAGCUCUCUGGCCUGAUACUGACGCUGAGGUGCGAAAGCGUGGGGAGCAAACAGGAUUAGAUACCCCCGUAGUC